CCUACGGGGUGCAGCAGUGAGGAAUAUUGGUCAAUGGCCGGAAGGCUGAACCAGCCAUGCCGCGUGAAGGUCAGUGCCCUAUGGGCGUUAAACUUCUUUUGUGCGGGAGCAAUAAUGGUCACGUGUGGCCAGACGAGAGUACCGUACGAAUAAGCAUCGGCUAACUCCGUGCCAGCAGCCGCGGUAAUAAGGGGGAUGCAAGCGUUAUCCGGAUUUAUUGGGUUUAAAGGGUGCGUAGGCUGUGAGGUAAGGCAGCGGUGAAAUGCCCCCGCUCAACGGGGUGAAGUGCCAUUGAUACUGGCUGGCUGGAAUGCGGAUGCCGUGGGAGGAAUGUGUGGUGUAGCGGUGAAAUGCAGAGAUAUCACACAGAACACCGAUUGCGAAGGCAUCUCACGAAUCCGCGAUUGACGCUGAUGCACGAAAGCGUGGGUAUCAAACAGGAUUAGAUACCCCAGUAGUC
rnacentral:rRNA from 1 species